AAUUCCCUGGGCCAUCACAUGGUGCUGAUGAUAUCUCCUAUAACAGCCCAUCUGAUUCAUUGAUACUUCCGGAGGUUGAAGAUUCUGAUGGUAUUGUUCAAAGUUUUACUGCUGGGAAUCCUCACGAGUCAUUAACUUUAGGAAAGCUGAAAGAGAGAAGAUCAAGAGAUCCGGCAGAUAUGUAUAGGAAACGAAGGCGUUGCUCUGUGCCUUGUUGUGGGCAGUUUGGACAUGAUGCAGCUGAUUGUCCAAUGAUGGGAGGUGAUGAUUUGAAUGCUGAUGGGCUAGGAUUUUUGUAGGUAAACUUCUGGAAUUGGCUAGAUGUGUAAAGUUACAGCACUAUGGUAGCCAUGUCUAUACACUAAUAUCAAAAUAUUUCCAUCUUCAAAUGCAUUCCUUAAAGUGCCUCCUUCAAUUUGCAGAAUAGAUACAUAUAGUAUUUGUAUGCAUUAAUGAUUGCUUGGUAUUAGUAGUAGUAUUUUAAUUAAUGUCUUAGUUGGAAGAAGCUAAAAACUGAUGCACGCGGUUACUAGUGGUUACCGGUUGCAAACAGUGGCUUUUAGUUCAGUAUGGGCCCAAAUCAUCAUAAACCUUGCAGUCUGGCAAGUGACUUUAAGUUUGUCAAGUUGAUCAAUUAAUACGUUCGUGGAACAACAGAAGAAAUUUGUUAGUUCUAAUGCAAUCUUUGCUUUACCUAUUUUUAUGUAAUAUAUAUCCUUCCUUGUGAUUUGCUGGGUUAAGAGUACUGCAUUAGGAAACUUAUUUUCUUGAUCUAACCUCUCUGUGGAGCUUCCUGUGUCUAGUAUUUAUUCACUCAGUUAUUCAUUUGCCUUAAGUUGCUAGGUUUGUGAACACUGGUUAGUGUAAUGCUUUUGUCAGGUGUUAAAAUAGUAGGUUUCUUUUGUGAUGUGGUUUUGCUCAUCUAAGAUAUUACUGGAAGUUACAUUUUGUAUACUGGAUUAUAGAGUUUGGUUGAUUAUAGAGCAUUCUCUCUCUCUCUCUCUCUCUCUCUCUCUCUCUCUCUCUCUCUCUCUCUCUCUCGGUUGCUUUGAAAUGUAUUCCUUUCCCCUGGUGGUGUAACUACUUUUGUUGUGGUCACAUAUCAAAAUUCCUUAUCUUGCUAUAGUUUUCUUUUGCUUUCUUAUGGAUCAGCAAGGUAAAGGCCACUGAGGUGGAUUGGUUGUUGCCCUUGGAAUGAUGAAGCAACCUAGCAUUUCGAUAUCUAUAUGCAAUAUGAUGAUUUUCUUCCUUCCGGUAUAUUUCUACCUGGCACAGGUAAGAGGAUUUCUAGGUCUCCUGUUUGUUUGGUAGUAUUGGUAUAUUUAUGUUUUGUUUCGAAAGGAAUGGUAGUAAGAACGAAAUUCAAAUAUUGUACUAUAUACCUUUUCUAUAACACUAUUUAUAUGGCAAACAUUAAGUAACAUCCAAUA